ensembl:lncRNA
CUAUCCGCUGCGCUCUGUCCACAGCUGGAUGUCGGAAAUGGUAGUUGCGUGCAGCUUUCAAGGAGCCGCCCCCGCCCUCGCGGAAACUUUGCAUCUAUAAGGGGCGGUUCCCGGAAGGCGGGUAACGCCGAGUUCUGCUAGCCUGCUACUUGGGAGACCCAGGUGCGUCCCGGCGCGGUGACCCACUUCUAGGAGUUGACGUUUUUUUCAGUUUGCUUGAAGCCGGAGGCAAUGGUGUCAGCUAAGAGAAUGACUUGUGGCUGGGAUCGUCCCUUCCAAGAAGCUCUCGGUCGCAUUCCAGCGUCUCGGUGGAGUCGAUGGUGGUACAAGAGUCAUAGCCCGCUCCGGAGAAGAGAUGAAAUGGAGCUAUUAGCACUAGCAAAAGCCUGCACAGCUAAAUCCUUAGGAAUAGCCAACCUUGACCUGCCAGCUAGUCUCAGAACUGUUACUGGAGUUAAAGAAACAGUGGAACAGCUGUACCAAAUACCGCAAAGCUCGAAGUAAACCAGAUUUAUCCAAACAAAACUUUAAGAAAAACUACUCUUAGAAAGAUCUGGUGAACCAUUUUUGUUUGAUUUACCUUAGGUUACACUCCUCAGAAAACCUAGCUGAAUGUAAUUUGCCAAAGUCAAAAUAACAGAUCUGAAAACAGUAGAGAGGCUCUCACUCAUGAAAGUGGAGCAGUAACGAACUUUGUUUUGGGGAACCAACUGGAGCAGAUUGGGACUGUUCCCGAAAGUCCCAUUUUCUAAGACAUCUGUCCUGGGUGAAAAUGCCCUGGUUUUCAGCAGUGAGUGCAAAUAUUUGAGGGGAGCGCAGGGGUACAAAACCUAUAUUGUGGCCCUCCCAAGAGAGGCUGAAGACAACACCCUUUUUUAUGAAUGAAUAUGGUGAUUGUCUGCCUUCUGUUAACCACUGAUACCGGCAAUCUGGAUUUGUGUGGUUCACAUAGUAUAUCUACAUAACAUAGCAUUCUCUCAGAGCAGCUUAAAUUCCAGACAGGAGCGUUAACAGACCAGUUAACUUUUGUGCUUUGCAUGGAGAUAGUGCUCAUGUAAUUUUUAACUUUGUGAAUAUUGAGACCAUGGUUUCUAAGAGUUCAGAUAUGAAAAUGAGAAUGAGUUCAAUACCAAUGCCAGCCUGACAGUACCAAAAAGAAGACUAAAUGGCCCUGGUUUUUCUUUCUUUCUUCUUUCUUUCUUUCUUUCUUUCUUUCUCUCUUUCUCUCUUUCUCUCUUUCUGUCUUUCUCUCUUUCUCUUCCUCUCUCUCUCUCUUUCUCUCUCUUUCUCUCUCUCUCUCUCUUUCUUUCUCUCUCUCUCUCUCUUUCUCUCUUUUUAGGGCCACACUCGAGGCCUAUGGAGGUUCCCAGGCUAGGGGUCCAAUUGGAGCUGUAGCCACUGGCCUACGCCACAGCCACAGCAACUCCGGAUGGUUAACUGUGUCAUCAUGAAUACUAGUUGGGUUGGUUAACCACUGAGCCAUGACGGGAACUCUGGCUCUGUUAUUUUAAUGACAGAUAGAAGGACACUGGAUUAGGGAUGUAAAUAAUCCAGCAUACUGUACAAUAUGCAGGAAAAGAAUUUGGGGUUGGCCAUGGUGGAGAAGGGGAUGUGAAAACACGUAUGGAGACUGAAUCCCACAAGUCUGGAAUGAGACAAGCAGGCACUUUUGAAUCAAUACAGUGUUUUCAUUGCCCUGAAGGACACCAGCACUCAGUCAAAAAUAGCAGCUGCUGAAUUAGCUUGGGCAUACCACGAAAGGAUGAACAUGCCUUGUCCUAUUGCUCCCUUGAUUGCUUAGUGAAACUGAAUAAAGUUAUAUUUCCAGA